rnacentral:rRNA from 1 species
GAUGAACGCUGGCGGCGUGCCUAAUACAUGCAAGUCGAGCGAACAGACGAGGAGCUUGCUCCUCUGACGUUAGCGGCGGACGGGUGAGUAACACGUGGAUAACCUACCUAUAAGACUGGGAUAACUUCGGGAAACCGGAGCUAAUACCGGAUAAUAUAUUGAACCGCAUGGUUCAAUAGUGAAAGACGGUUUUGCUGUCACUUAUAGAUGGAUCCGCGCCGCAUUAGCUAGUUGGUAAGGUAACGGCUUACCAAGGCAACGAUGCGUAGCCGACCUGAGAGGGUGAUCGGCCACACUGGAACUAAGACACGGUCCAGACUCCUACGGGAGGCAGCAGUAGGGAAUCUUCCGCAAUGGGCGAAAGCCUGACGGAGCAACGCCGCGUGAGUGAUGAAGGUCUUCGGAUCGUAAAACUCUGUUAUUAGGGAAGAACAAAUGUGUAAGUACCUAUGCACGUCUUGACGGUACCUAAUCAGAAAGCCACGGCUAACUACGUG